rnacentral:rRNA from 1 species
GAUCCUGGCUCAGGGCGAACGCUGGCGGCGCGCCUAACACAUGCAAGUCGAACGGAGCUUUGUAUUCUGAAGUUUUCGGAUGGACGAAGAUAAAGCUUAGUGGCGAACGGGUGAGUAACACGUGAGGAACCUGCCUUUCAGAGGGGGACAACAGUUGGAAACGACUGCUAAUACCGCAUAAGACCACAGCACCGCAUGGUGCAGUGAUCAAAGGAGCAAUCCGCUGAAAGAUGGACUCGG